CCAGACUGUGCACUUCUAAGAAUCCUUCAGAUGGAGUCAGUGGGACUGCUCACAUGAACUUCUGCCUUCCUACAUGUGAACUUCAAAGCCUUUGAUAGUCAUGAAGCAUCAGAGGAGCCUUUAUGCUAAGUAAAACCUGUGUGAAAAGAGCGCUGCUUCUGAUCCCAUCAGGAGCUGCUAUAUAUUUCACUCCUUCUUAUGUUUUUCAUCCUCUCAGCCUGGAUAAAGCAGUCAGUCUGCAUUUGUUUGGGUGGUCAUGGCCAUACCUUUACUAUGCUGUGCGCUGUCAGAGUGGAGAAGCUGCAGCCUAACAGGACAGGCCGUGGUGUAGCCAGAGGAAGUGCUGAAGUAGUACAGGCACCUCAAGAGAAAAUGCCUAUGAAGAGCAAGCAAAUAGCAUUGGGGACYUUGCUGGGAGAAGGCAGUAAGUCUACUGUGUGCUUCCUGCAGGGAGACUGCAGCAUAGUGUUGAAAAGUGAAUUCCUCUUGAUGUGAAUGGAAUGUAAUUUUUGACCUUGCCCUGAAGAGAGUCACUUUCUGCAAGGAUGAGCUGAACUAUGGACUGAGGCAAGUGGAACCAUUUUUUUCAUUUUUUUUUAAGCUUCAUGUCUGGGUCGUUACCUUUAUACAAUGG
rnacentral:lncRNA from 1 species